UACGUAGGGGGCGAGCGUUUUCCGAAUUUACUGGGCGUAAAGCGCGCGUAGGCGGUUUCUUAAGUCUGGGGUGAAAGGUUCAACGCUCAACGUGAACAGUGCCUUGGAUACUGGGAGACUUGAGUCUGGGAGGGGGUAGUGGAAUUCCUGGUGUAGCGGUGAAAUGCGUAGAUAUCAGGAGGAACACCGGUGGCGAAGGCGGCUACCUGGCCUAAGACUGACGCUGAGGUGCGAAAGCGUGGGGAGCGAACGGG
rnacentral:rRNA from 1 species